CCUGGCUCAGAUUGAACGCGUGGCGGCAGGCCUAACACAUGCAAGUCGAGCGGUAGAGAGGUGCUUGCAUCUCUUGAGAGCGGCGGACGGGUGAGUAAUGCCUAGGAAUCUGCCUAGUGGUGGGGGAUAACGUCGGAAACGGACGCUAAUACCGCAUACGUCCUACGGGAGAAAGCGGGGGAUCUUCGGACCUCGCGCCAUUAGAUGAGCCUAGGUCGGAUUAGCUAGUUGGUGAGGUAAUGGCUCACCAAGGCGACGAUCCGUAACUGGUCUGAGAGGAUGAUCAGUCACACUGGAACUGAGACACGGUCCAGACUCCUACGGGAGGCAGCAGUGGGGAAUAUUGGACAAUGGGCGAAAGCCUGAUCCAGCCAUGCCGCGUGUGUGAAGAAGGUCUUCGGAUUGUAAAGCACUUUAAGUUGGGAGGAAGGGUAGUAACCUAAUACGUUGCUACUUUGACGUUACCGACAGAAUAAGCACCGGCUAACUUCGUG
rnacentral:rRNA from 1 species